UACGUAGGGUGCAAGCGUUAAUCGGAAUUACUGGGCGUAAAGCGUGCGCAGGCGGCUUUGCAAGACAGAUGUGAAAUCCCCGGGCUUAACCUGGGAACUGCAUUUGUGACUGCAUGGCUGGAGUGCGGCAGAGGGGAUGGAAUUCCGGCGUGUAGCAGUGAAAUGCGUAGAUAUGCGGAGGAACACCGAUGGCGAAGGCA
rnacentral:rRNA from 1 species